rnacentral:lncRNA from 1 species
CUUCCCCUCAGUUACCUUCUCGUCCUGUUUGGGUUUUGGUAUGAUCAAUAAUGGAGAGAGAAUGUACAAAAAGUAUCUGAAAUUCAGACACCCAGAUUCGAGUGUGUCUCAGCCACUGUGUUGUAGUGCUGCGCGGUGUUGUGCUUCCAUUGUUAGGACGCGCACGUUGACUUAGACGCAGAGGUGUGGGGGUCCCGUCACAGAGCACUGGUUUCGGAGGUGGCUUCGCUGCCUCUGGGACCCUUUGGCAUGCCGAAUGCAUCAGGGUGAGAUGUACCGGGUACACAGAUUUGCACCCCAACAGACGUCGGAUGUAGAAAACACAUGACUCCGCACACAGAUAUACUUGGCUCUUUGCAGUAUUGCUACUGGUUCUUGCAUAGGACAUGAGAAUUCUGAUCAAAUCUAUUAUGUGUCAUUCCCAGAGGAAAAAAAAUGUGUGUUUAUAGUUGUGUUCACUGCGUUAUGGAGUAUAUUCUUUGCAGGAGGACCUUCUGUCCUGAUUAGGCAUUGAUAAGAACUGACUCCUCCACUUAACAUCUCACAGCUCUGGUAACCGGGAGAAUUUUCCACCAGCCACCUUCAUGUGUUUCAAACUUUGCUUCCCCCCAACUUCUCAUGCACUUCUGUCACCAGGCACUCUGGGACCCAUUCACAUCCCUGAAACCUCUGGCCCCACACCCUUGACUACACAGAGAAGCCACUGAGCCAUGUCCACAACAGCCCACUACACCUAAACUAAGUGUAGGCAUCUGACAGCAGAAAGGGAGCAGAAAGAGACCGUAGUCUCAGCGAUCUGCGGUGGAAGAGCUUAAUUUUUCAAAAUUUACAAAAACAUGAGCACAUUGCUGGGACCCGCCUAGGGGCCCAGGCUAGUGAGGGACCCUCCAUGGUGGUUCCAACUCCACUUAGUUCUCCCCUCUCCCCCAUGAUGGGAGCUGCCCUCCAAAACACACCAAGCCCCCUUCCACUCCCACAUCUAGCCCACAGGCCUUCCCCUUCAACCACCUCCCCUUGUCUCCACUCUGUUCUUCCCCACAGAUACUUCUGGCAUGUACAGCCGUGGCGUCUGCCCAUGGCCCCAAUGAGGCCUCCAAGCGCAAAGCCAGCAACACGGCAGCCGUGGUAAAGGCUCUAGACGGUCACCCAUUAGUCAUUUGUGUUACUAUUGCAUUAUUUUUGAGUCAGUGUUGCCUCUUUUUAACUUAUGCUCAUUAUCCUGUCCUCCGUGUUUCAGAUGAGAGCCCUUCAGGUCGGGCCCACCUGUCUCACCAGCCUCUCUGGACUCAGCCUCCUGGGUUUGUCCACAACAGCCUCUGUCAGUGCUGCUCAGGGCGCCGGUUGGCACAGAGGCGAGGCAGAACGGAAGUCCUCUGCAUUGCAGCGCACGCUGUCGAGAUGAUUCCACGGCUCUGUUGUGUUUGUGUUGCCAUCGGGGCUCUCGUUCAUUGGCGCCCAGAGAAAGUCCGGACUGUUCCCUGGGUGUUGGAUGCCUGUGUCCGGAUCCAGCGCUCGUCUCCCUGCUCUCGGCUCCUCUGGUUCCCUGUGCUCCGUGCCCCUGCGUCCUCGGGCUUCCACUGGAGAUGAGGCCGAGGCCGAGAGUUCUAUGAGAUCAGCAACCAUUCCUGUUGUUUAUAUUGCUAACGGCACGUGGACCGCGGCUUGACAUGGCUAUUCUGAACAUUUCUACCUAAGUUAACCGGCCGUCCAGCCCACCUGGCAGCACCACAGAAUGGCAAAACAGUGUCUUUAUCUUUCUCAUUCAUCACCUUGUCUGCCUCUUCUUCUCUCAUUGCACCUCCUGGGGGCCCACUACAUACCCUAGCAAUGCCUAGGAGGGUACCGGGUCCGCGCCCGGAGUGCACGUGACGAAUGACCACAGUACAGGGCUACCGCAUGUACAUGAAGAGCCAUGGGAGGAAAGAGGAGGGAGACAGUACCCAUCCCGUGGCUCCCCGAGGAGGUGGCUCCAGAGACAACCUUCAGCACCUGUUCACAGAGAUAGAACACAGGUGGGAGGAGGCAUGUGGGGUAGGUGGUGGUUUCGUGCUGAAGACUUUGGACUUGAUCCUAACAUCAAAGUGAACCACGGAAGGAGCCGAGCCAUGGAGGGACUGUCACAUAUGGUGCCUAGAGAUGUCCCUCUGGCCUCUGGUUAGACAUGGAGGGUGGGACAUUUGUAGUCACCUCUGCUCCUCCCAGAGCCCCUCACAGAUGGUGGUAGAGAUGAUACAUGUGUGUCUCACACAGAAUGAAGGAACGAGACAAGAAAGCCGGAGGAGGGAGCAGUGAACCGAGUGUCGGGUGGCAGGAAGCAGACGGACAGGCAGCAGCGGGCCUUCCCUUAGUCUUCCGUGCAGUCACAGCCCCCAGCUGGGGCCCUGUCCAGCGCCCUUGGGAAUUCGAAUGACAGAAGGAGGUACUAAAAUGCCAACUGUAAAGUUUUUGUGAUUUGUGGGUGAGGGCCCAGCAGUGUCAGCAUCUAUAGGUCUUUGAAAGUGGUCUGUCUCUAGAGAGGAACUUUACAGGUAAGGAAACUGAGGCCCACAGAAGUCAAUCUCCCCAAGGCUCCAUAGUGUGACAGUGGAGCAGGGAUUCAGACCAGUGCCCGUAAAGACAUGAAAAGAUAAUCUCUUCUAAUUUUUAUCUUUAAACAUCUAUAAAUGAAAUAAUUAUGUAAAAAUCCCCCCUUUUGGAAUACUACUCAGCCAUCAAAAAAAUGAAAUCCAGGGGCGCCUGGGUGGCUCAGUUGGUUAAGUGACUGCCUUUGGUCAUGAUCCUGGAGUCCCUGGAGUCAGAUCAAUCAAGGAAAUGCAAAUUAAAAGGACAGUGAGAUACCAUCUUACACCCACCAGACGGGCAGAAAUGCUAAUAUGGCAGACCAGGUGCUCGAGACGGUGAGAAUUAAGAGACUCACUUCCUGCUGGGAGUGUCGGGGAACAUUUUAAAGGCAGUUUGGCUGCAUCUGCUAAAAUGGAUGAGUGUAAAACCCAGUGUAACCGGGAGACGUGACUAGAAUGUCCAUAGCAGCAUAGAGUUUAUAGUAACGAAGUCCGGAGACAACCCAGAUGUUUACCCACAGAACAGACACACAAAUCGCAGUAGAGUUGUGUGGUGGACUAUUAUGCGGCAGGAAAAAAGGAGUAAGCUGCUGUUGUACGAGUCGGAACGAAUACAUUUCUACAAACAGCGUCGAGAAAAAAGUUAUAGAUACAUGUGAUAACCAUUUAUUUAAAUUCAAACACAUCCGACAUGUAAGGACACACAUACGGAUGUGGUAAAACAGCUCAGCCCUCUCGGUAACGUCCUGUAUCCUAAGCGGGGCGGCCAGCACGCGGCUGCUAACAUUGUCAUCACUCCUUGUAGUUGAUCCAUAUGACAGAUCUGAAUGCUCAGGGGACUCACGGGGAGCCUGGCUCCCCUCACUGCUGCCAUCCUUCCUCAAAAAGGACAGAAGUUGGGAGGCUUGCCUACAAUUCUCUUUUAAAGGGGGAGUUUUUAAAUAAUGAUUUCAGUUAUAGAUUUUUAAAAGAUAAAAAUCAGAAGAGAUCCCGUUAGUGACAGGAACACCGGUGAGGCACAGGCAGGGAAAUCACGGCAGGGUGGUGGGCACAAAAGUAGACGUGGUGCCUGGCUUCUCACCCGUGAGAAUAGCCCACAGGCGCCUAACUGGCUCAGCUGAUAGAACAUGUGACUCUUGACCUCAGGGUCGUGAGUUUGAGCCCCACGUUGGGCAUAGGGCUUAUAUUGAGGAGGAGGAGAAGGAGGACCACUGACACCCUGCUAAAGCAUGCUGUCGGGGUUAAUUCACUAGUUCUAAUUGGGUUAUCAGGAUUAAAUGUUGAGUGAAAUGUAGUGUUGGGUUUAUUUAUCCUGUUGGGUUUUUUAAAGGUAUUCUCUGCGCCUAGUAUGGGGGCUUGAAGUCACGACCCCGAGAUCAAGAGUCCUAUGCUCCACCGACUGGGCCGGCCGGGCACCCCUGGCCUAUAUUUCAAGUGAAAUGCCAAGUUGCUGGAAGGGCUCUGAACGUAAAGGCGGGCAUGUCGUCUGCUGCUCAGAAUAAUUGUGAAGUCGCUGACAAAUUGUCCUUAUUGUGCAGCCCUUGGCAGCUUGAACUCUGAAGUUUGCCGUGUGAUCUGCCACGACAUAGUCGUUGGGACACACUUGUCUGCCCUACUUCAGGGAAGUUAUGAGGCUUUGCAGUGUGCAAGUUUCCCGUCCCUCACUGGGUGCUCAGUUCUGUUUAAUAAUGCACUUACACAACAGCUGGUCCGUCCUCCAGUGAAGGACUUUAGAACCAUACUAAGACAAGUGGAACCUGGUCCAGCUGUCCCUCCCUACCCCCAUUUUUCCAGAUGAGGAAACAGGCUUCAAGAGGAAGACCCUUGCCCCAAAAUCAGCAGAGGCUGACAGAAGAGGGACAAAGAAGCAGACAUGUCCUCUCCCUGGGGCUCUUAAAGGAGUGGCCUUUUCCAGGUAGGUGAAAGGGAAGGGCAUGGGCCAAGGUGUGAAGGAGCAGGAUGCUGGGGGGCAAGAGGGGACACUUUAUUGUGGGGUUUGGAGGUGAGGGGAGAAGCAGCAGGACCAGCUUUUGGAGAGCCUGGUGAGCCCAGCUCAGGACCCAAAAAUGACAGCAACCCCUUUCGUGGCAAGGUGGCCAGACCAAGGUGCUCACUGCCUGGUCAACUGGCCACAUGGGCAGAAUCCUAACUGACCGGCAGAUGCCCCCUGCCUCAGUACAGACAAAAAGGAACUGUCAGCUGGGGACAUCACACCCGCUCAUUCCCCCACCUCAAUCAGAAUCAAUAGUCCCUCUGGGUCAGCUGGGCCUGUUCUUCCACUGGCUGAACAAGACGCUGCAUCCAGGUGGGGGUCAGACUAAAGGGCUUUGUCCUUGUGACAGCCCCCGUGACAGCCGGGAUGAAGAAGGGAGCAGGGAGGGUAGGCCCACUCCACCACCCUCAUGGCCCAAGAGAGAUCCAGGGGAGGUCGAGAAGAGGAGCGGGGAAGGCUGGGCAUGCUAACUCUCCCUGUUAGCACUCAGAUGAUUCCAGUUUUGGCUUUUUUAACCUUCCUGCCUUUCUUCCUAUAUGAGGUUUUAGCAGUGAAAUACAUUUUUUUUUUUUAAUUUCCAAAAAUUGCCUCCCAUUUUCUUCUAGACCGUGUUUCCUCCCUACUCACCGAAAGGCUGGAAGCUUUGCCGUGGACUUUUCAGGGCGAGACAUUAAUGGUGGUGAUCUAGACUGGAUCUCACAUAAUUCUCUCCUAAUUCUCCCGUUCACAAGAAAUAAACAAACAUGAAAUCCCUGAACA